CUCGUAGGCGGUUUGUCGCGUCGAAUGUGAAAACCCGGGGCUCAACUCCGGGCCUGCAUUCGAUACGGGCAGACUAGAGUUCGGUAGGGGAGACUGGAAUUCCUGGUGUAGCGGUGGAAUGCGCAGAUAUCAGGAGGAACACCGGUGGCGAAGGCGGGUCUCUGGGCCGAUACUGACGCUGAGGAGCGAAAGCGUGGGGAGCGAACA
rnacentral:rRNA from 1 species